rnacentral:rRNA from 1 species
GGGGAAUUUUCCGCAAUGGGCGCAAGCCUGACGGAGCAACGCCGCGUGAGGGAGGAAUGUCUGUGGAUUGUAAACCUCUUUUCUCUGGGAAGAAGAUCUGACGGUACCAGAGGAAUCAGCAUCGGCUAACUCCGUGCCAGCAGCCGCGGUAAGACGGAGGAUGCAAGCGUUAUCCGGAAUUAUUGGGCGUAAAGCGUCCGUAGGCGGCUAAUUAAGUCAGUUGUUAAAGACUGCAGCUCAACUGUGGGAGAGCAACUGAAACUGGUUGGCUAGAGUACGGUAGGGGUAGAGGGAAUUUCCAGUGUAGCGGUGAAAUGCGUAGAGAUUGGGAAGAACACCAGUGGCGAAGGCGCUCUACUGGACCUGUACUGACACUCAGGGACGAAAGCUAGGGUAGCGAAAGGGAUUAGAUACCCCUGUAGUCA